UACAGAGGUCUCAAGCGUUGUUCGGAUUCAUUGGGCGUAAAGGGUGCGUAGGUGGCAUGGUAAGUCGGAUGUGAAAUCCCGGGGCUUAACCCCGGAACUGCAUUCGAUACUGCCAGGCUAGAGUACUGGAGAGGAGAUUGGAAUUUACGGUGUAGCAGUGAAAUGCGUAGAUAUCGUAAGGAAGACCAGUGGCGAAGGCGGAUCUCUGGACAGUUCCUGACGCUGAGGCACGAAGGCCAGGGGAGCAAACGGG
rnacentral:rRNA from 1 species